CACCCCCAUCUUCCAGAAGGAAACUUUCGCAUGCUUUUGGUGCCCUGAUUUUUGCGGCCUCUGCCCAGGGGACCUUCCUUGCUCACAGGGGUUUCAUGGCCUGGGAGAGGCCUGGGUCCCACGGGGUUAUAACAGUCACAGUGCUGGCAAGAUACCACAGUCAGGGUGGUGCCAGAGAUUGAAACGCACCCCUCUCUCAGUAGAAGAGGUCGGUUGACUCGUCCUGGACCUUGGGCCUGAGGGGAAGGCUUCCGGUUUGGCACGCAUCUAGUGGCCAAUGGAGCUGCUCUCAAGGAACGUGGAAUGCGCACCUACAUUUGUCCUUCGUAUCUCCCAGAAAAGAGCUUAUACACUCAUCUGGAGCUCUUCUUUUCCAACCUCCACCCAGAGGAUGCCCCCAGAUCACCUGGCCUUGGUAGCCAUGAGGGCUGAUGCUGGUGGUCCCACAGGACUGAUUAGCUUUGCACACUUUAAAAGCUGCUGUCUGAGGGUCUGGCUUCCAAUCAGCCCGAAUCUAGGUGCUGUGAGAUCCUCCCCUUUGGGACACGAACAGGUCUUGGCUCGCUUUCCGCUGCCGGGAGCUAUUAAAAAAUAUAAUAGGCGGUUUGGACAAUCACAAAAGUUGGUGAGACCACCAAGGCUUGAGCAAAGUUGAGCGACAGGUUUUGUCACCUACCCAAGGCCAUGCCUUCAGGGAGAAGUGGUUGUUUCAUCUAGCACAGAGAAACCAACACAGAACCAAGCAAAAUGAAGAAAAAGAGGAACACCUUGCAAACAAAAGAACAAGCAGCAUCACAGAUGAAAAGAUCUUGGAUACCUGAGUUACCACAUAGUCUGCCUGUCUCACACUGGAAUGUGACUAGAUUUUUGAGACUACACUGAGUAAUCACAGACCACAUUUAUGGGAUGGCUGCCCCAUGACAAGCUUUGUUCUGAGCACUUGACGUGGGUUAUUAAUUCAGUGUCACAGUCUCAUGAGGUAAGUGGCUUUAUUAUACACUCAGCUUUUCAUGUGAGGAAUCCCACACACCAUGAAGUUCAAUGACGUGCCACACACCACAUGGCCAGCAAGUAGUGCAGCUGGGAUUUGAAAGGGUCUGACUCCAAAGCCCAACUUUUUAAACACAACACUAUAUGGACAAAAGUUUUAAGUGAAGUCUCCAGGAACUGAGGAGCCAUAGCUGGUUUG